CUCCAAACCUCCAGGAGGGGCUGACAACUGAAGAUCUUAGAGAUGUCAAAAGGAAGAGGACAAAAAUGAAAUGAAGAUGAACAAACAGCAGCACUUUCAGGACUAUUAAAAAUUAUGUAUUCAUGAACUCAGAGCCCUCUCACCUUUUUGGCAGCCUAUCUUGCAGUUUUCUCCAAUAUUCUGUAGUUGCUCCAAUUCAUUAGAAAGAGUUAUGAAAGCACUACUGAAAAGCAAGCAAUCAUUACUAUGAUGACUAUUUAUAAUUAUCAUGUUGUAUUUUGCUGUUGUAUGUUGUGUUUUGCCAUUGUAUGUUGCAUUGCUGUCAUAAGAACAUACAGCUCAAUGCCAUAUAAUUGCAUUUUAUUAUUUUAAUGACAAUUGUGUAAUGUGUAUUGAUAGUCACUAACUCCAUUUUCGGAUUAAAUACAUUUAACAGGCCAAAUGGAAUUUUGCACAUUUAAGGGGCACUAACAUCUAUUAUUUACAGGAGAAAAGAGAUGCCCUAACCUUAGUUUACACAAAACAUCUUUAUUUGAUGCUAAUGGUGGCCAAGGAGCAGUUGGCCAGCAAAGGCAGUUCCUGUCAUAUGCUUUGAAGUUCCAGAUUGCCUAGAACUUCAAAUUGGAAUGAUGCCUGUUAUGGCAAUUUUCAGGAGAAGUGAAAAAGGAAUCUUAAAGAUCAAAACUAAUUUUUGGGACCAUCUGCCGUAAAUUAUUUUUGUACUAGUUUUUUCAUAUAUAAAGAAAUCUUUCAUGCAUAAAUACAUACAUAUUCAUAUAUAAAACUAUACAGGCAGUUCUUGCUGUGCACAUUUUGAUAUGCAUGUAUUUCAGUUAUCAUAGUUAUAGUGAAAUAACACCAGUCUCUCAACAAUAUGGUCCAAAUUUCACUUACCAUCAUAUAUUAACUAUUAGUAGUUACAGGAAGUACCAACAUCUCUGCUAGCUCUUUAGUCCAUCAGAUAUCAUGUGAGGGACAGAAGCACAUCAUGCCUGGGAUUCACUUCUUUCAAAGCCUGUCAGCUAUUGUUCAUUGCACAUUUUUAUGUUACUCAGUUUGCUCACAGACAGCAAAAUGUGUAGUUGUGUUGUUUCCUUGUUGUCUCCUUGUCUCCCAGUGAUAAACGCCCAUGACAUUUUACAAAAAUGGGCAAAAGAGGGCAGUGGCCAACAAAGAUAAAAGUGCGACAAAUAAAUAAAAAGUAAUGCUGAAAGUGAAAUCUAAAUAGAAUAUAAAUGGAUUUGGAGAACAAAAAGGCUAUCUAUAGAAAUAAUACUGCCAUUGUUCUAGAUAUAGCCAGAGGAAAUUAGUGAAUGUAGAUUUAUCUACACAAAUAAGAAACACAGUUGUGAUGAGAAGACUGUAGAUAUCCCAGAGGAAGUAACAGGAACUGAAAUCUUUGCAGUAAAAGAACUCUCAGAGAUAUUUCGUCACAUUGAAUACACAAUGAGUAAAAUGUUAGAAGCUGAUCCCAACUUAGAAAGAAGCAAGGCAAUUUACUAUGUCAUAGAAAAGAUGUGUGUUUAGUUUUGUAAUUUUUAUAACAAGAAGGCAAACACUGUUCAAACUAUCCUUGAUAGUUUAUUUUUAAAAAGAAUAUCCUUAUAUAACCAUAGUACUCUGUCCAAACAAGGAAACUGACAUUGGUAAACUGUGACAUCCAUAGAACUUAUUCAGAUUUUACCAGUUUUACAUGCUCACAUCUUCUCUCUGUGAGUGUGUGUGUGUGUGUGUGUAAUUCUAUACAAUUUUAUUACGUGUAGAUUUGUGUAACCUCCCU
rnacentral:lncRNA from 10 species